GCAUGUAUUGGCUGGCGUCUAAGCGCCUUUGUUCCUUCCAGCAUCCAUGGCUUAGCCUCACAUGAAAUCGAGUCAACCAAUUCCUGUCGGUUUUGGGUGGCUCCAUUGAAGAUGCAAUCAUUUUCAGCCGCCAGAUAUGCAUGGUCAGAUUAAUUAGCGAGAGUGCCCCUUUUGUCUGGUUGGAGAAAGAUUUCGAAGAAGCUGAGCAGCAACAGGAGCUUGACCGACUUGUUCUCACCGAAGCCAGUUUGAGGUUAGUUAAUCAUGGUCCUAGAGAGGUGUUUUGUUGACUGUUGAGGCGUAAUAUGUUACAUGCCAAGCUCUUGAUGAUUAGGGCGACCUGUGAAGCACGCAAAUUAACCUCUGAAUUAUUUUUGCAGCUUCUAGUCAUUUUGCCAAGCUUGCCUAGUUAUUUUUGCAGCUUCUAGUCAUUUUGCCAAGCUUGCCUAGUUAUUUUUGCAGCUUCUAGUCAUUUUUCCAUGUACAGGUUUUAUGGAUCCAGAUGUGGUAGUCUGUAUGUGAUGGCAUUUAAUAUGAGGUCUAGAGGUUUAGUUAAGGAUCGGUCUGCAAAUUUUUGGUUUUGAUCGAGGCAGCACCAUGUUUAGUUUAACCUGUAACUUGGCUUACCUUGAUCAUGCUGGUGUUAUCGCUGGGAAUCACAAUAUCGAUGGCCUCAUUGUUUUCUUUUACAUUGAAUUAAACAUACUCUGUGUUGUCGUUGAAACUGACGCUGAACAAUGUUCACAAUUAAUAUAGCUCUGUUGGCUAUUUUCAUUAACUGUCAACAUGUUCCUUUUUUGAAAAGUAGCCUGGUCAAUUGUCAUUCAAUAAUCAAUACUCUGCAUAUCAUGAUGGUAAGACACAAGGAUAUGGGUGAUGGAUUUGAGCUUCUUUGCCAUGGUUCAAACUGUGCAGUCUGGGUUAUGCUUUGUAGUAAUGUUCUUUUUGGCUUUGGUAGUAUGAGCAGAAAGCAGGCAUGAAUGAACUGAUAUGUGGUACUAUAUUAUGUUAAUGAAAUCUGGUUGUGGUUGUUGUUGUUUUUGUAAUUAUUAUUAUUAUUAUCAUCCCUUUUCUCGAACAAAAAGUGUGCUGCUCAAUCAUAGGUCAGUCAUUCAUCUUGCCUCUUUUUCCAGGGGGCGGAGUCUGAUGGAUUUUGGUGAGCUUCGCCAUGGUUUUCUCUUCUGUUCCUUGGUGCAGGGCCUGAUGGAAUUAUGCUGAACUGUAACAUUUAAUUACUACAAAACAGUUUUUUUUGUAGUUGUUCGUUGUAUAACCACGGAAUCCCAUUAUCUUAUUAUAUUCAUUGUCUUUU
rnacentral:lncRNA from 1 species